rnacentral:rRNA from 1 species
CACGUAGGGCGCAAGCGUUGUCCGGAAUUAUUGGGCGUAAAGAGCUCGUAGGCGGCUUGUCGCGUCGGCUGUGAAAACCCGGGGCUCAACCCCGGGCCUGCAGUCGAUACGGGCAGGCUAGAGUCCGGCAGGGGAGACUGGAAUUCCUGGUGUAGCGGUGAAAUGCGCAGAUAUCAGGAGGAACACCGGUGGCGAAGGCGGGUCUCUGGGCCGGAACUGACGCUGAGGAGCGAAAGCGUGGGGAGCGAACAGG